UACGAAGGGGGCUAGCGUUGUUCGGAAUUACUGGGCGUAAAGCGCACGUAGGCGGACUACUAAGUCAGGGGUGAAAUCCCGGGGCUCAACCCCGGAACUGCCUUUGAUACUGAUAGUCUCGAGUCCGGAAGAGGUGAGUGGAACUGCGAGUGUAGAGGUGAAAUUCGUAGAUAUUCGCAAGAACACCAGUGGCGAAGGCGGCUCACUGGCCCGGUACUGACGCUGAGGUGCGAAAGCGUGGGGAGCAAACAGGG
rnacentral:rRNA from 1 species